AAGUCGUAACAAGGUUUCCGUAGGUGAACCUGCGGAAGGAUCAUUAUUGAAUAAACUUGAUGUGGUUGUAGCUGACUCCUUUGAAAGGGGUAUGUGCUCGCCCAUCAUCUUUGUCUUUCCACCUGUGCACUACUUGUAGACUUGGAUGUCAUGUUUUGAAUGCCUUUAUGGGGCUUUCAUUAGAUGUCCAAGCCUAUGCUUUUCAUAUACUCCAAAGAAUGUAACAGAAUGUAUCACUAGGCCCUAUGUGCCUAUAAACUUUGUACAACUUUCAGCAACGGAUCUCUUGGCUCUC
rnacentral:misc_RNA from 1 species